UGUGCCAGCAGCUGCGGUGAUACGUAGGGCGCAAGCGUUGUCCGGAAUUAUUGGGCGUAAAGAGCUCGUAGGCGGUUAGUCGCGUCUGCUGUGAAAACUCGAGGCUCAACCUCGGGCUUGCAGUGGGUACGGGCUGACUAGAGUGCGGUAGGGGUGACUGGAAUUCCUGGUGUAGCGGUGGAAUGCGCAGAUAUCAGGAGGAACACCGAUGGCGAAGGCAGGUCACUGGGCCGCAACUGACGCUGAGGAGCGAAAGCAUGGGGAGCGAACAGGAUUAGAUACCCUGGUAGUCCAUGCCGUAAACGUUGGGCACUAGGUGUGGGACCCAUUCCACGGGUUCCGUGCCGCAGCUAACGCAUUAAGUGCCCCGCCUGGGGAGUACGGCCGCAAGGCUAAAACUCAAAGAAAUUGACGGGGGCCCGCACAAGCGGCGGAGCAUGCGGAUUAAUUCGAUGCAACGCGAAGAACCUUACCAAGGCUUGACAUACACCGGAAAAGUGCAGAGAUGUGCUCCCCGUAAGGUCGGUGUACAGGUGGUGCAUGG
rnacentral:rRNA from 1 species